AUAUUUUGAUCAUGGCUCAGACGGAACGCUAGCGUUAGGCCUGCAACAUGCAAGUCGAACGAGAUUAAGAGGCUUGCUUCUUAUGCAAGUGGCGCACGGGUGCGUAACGCGUAUGCAACCUACCUUAAUCAGGCAUAUAGCCCGAAGAAAUUCGGAUUAAGACCGCAUAAAAACACAGGAUAGCAUUAUCCAAUGUUCAAAUAUUUAUAGGAUUAAGAUGGGCAUGCGUGUCAUUAGCUAGUUGGCGGGGUAACGGCCCACCAAGGCGACGAUGACUAGGGGAUCUGAGAGGAUGACCCCCCACACUGGUACUGAGACACGGACCAGACUCCUACACUAGGCAGCAGUAAGGAAUAUUGGUCAAUGGAGGGAACUCUGAACCAGCCAUGCCGCGUGCAGGAAGACAGCCCUCUGGGUCGUAAACUGCUAAUAUUCGGGAAUAAACCUUUCUACGUGUAGGAAGCUGAAUGUACCGAAGGAAUAAGGAUCGGCUAACUCCGUGCCAGCAGCCGCGGUAAUACGGAGGAUCCAAGCGUUAUCCGGAUUGCUUGGGUUUAAUCGGUGCGUAGGCGGCUUAUUAAGUCAGGGGUGAAAGACGGUGGCUCAACCAUCGCAGUGCCCUUGAUACUGAACUGCUUGAAUACACUAGAGGUAGGCGGAAUGUGACAAGUAGCGGUGAAAUGCAUAGAUAUGUCACAGAACACCGAUUGCGAAGAUGGCUUACUAUGGUGCCAUUGACGCUGAGGCACGGUGGGGAUCACGAAGGAUUAGAUACCCUGGUAGUCCACGCCCUAAACGAUGAAUACUCGCUGUUAGCGAUAUACAGUUAGCGGCUAAGCGAUGCGUUAAGUAUUCCACCUGUCGAGUACGCCAAUCGUGAAACUCAAAUCUAUUGACGGAGCGCACAAUCGGAGGAGCAUGUGGUUUAAUUCGAUGAUACGCGAGACCUUACCCGGGCUACUAAGUUAGUGAAUGAUCUAGAGAUAGAUCAGUGAGCGUGCACACGAAACUAGGUGCCAUAUGGCUGUCGUCAGCUCGUGCCAGGUGUUGGGUUAAGUCCCGCAACGAGCGCAACUUGAUGUUUAGUUGCCAGCACGUUACAUUGAUCACUCUAAACAGACUGCCUGUGCAAACAGAGAGGAAGACGACGUCAAGUCAUCAUGGCCCUUACGUCCGACUUUACACACGUGCUACAAUGGAUGGUACAGAGGGCAGCAAGCUGGCAACAGCAAGCGAAUCUCAAAAAGCCAUUCACAGUUCGGAUAGAGGUCUGCAACUCGACCUCUUGAAGUUGGAUUCGCUAGUAAUCGCGUAUCAGCAAUGACGCGGUGAAUACGUUCCCGGGCCUUGUACACACCGCCCGUCAAGCCAUGGAAGUUGGAUGUACCUAAAGUAUGUAACCGUAACUUGCGUCCUAGGGUACGCCCGAUAACUAAGUCGUAACAAGACAUCGAG
rnacentral:rRNA from 1 species